rnacentral:rRNA from 1 species
AGAGUUUGAUUAUGGCUCAGGAUGAACGCUAGCGACAGGCUUAACACAUGCAAGUCGAGGGGCAGCACGGGAGUAGCAAUACUUUGGUGGCGACCGGCGCACGGGUGAGUAACGCGUAUGCAACCUACCUAUCAGAGGGGAAUAACCCGGCGAAAGUCGGACUAAUACCGCAUAAAACAGGGGCACCGCAUGGUGAUAUUUGUUAAAGAAAUUCGCUGAUAGAUGGGCAUGCGUUCCAUUAGGUAGUUGGUGAGGUAACGGCUCACCAAGCCGACGAUGGAUAGGGGAACUGAGAGGUUGGUCCCCCACACUGGUACUGAGACACGGACCAGACUCCUACGGGAGGCAGCAGUGAGGAAUAUUGGUCAAUGGGCGGGAGCCUGAACCAGCCAAGUCGCGUGAAGGAAGAAGGAUCUAUGGUUCGUAAACUUCUUUUGCAGGGGAAUAAAGUGCGGGACGUGUCCUGUUUUGUAUGUACCCUGAGAAUAAGGAUCGGCUAACUCCGUGCCAGCCGCAGC